UACGUAGGGGGCUAGCGUUGUCCGGAUUUAUUGGGCGUAAAGAGCGUGUAGGCGGCCAGGUAGGUCUGCUGUGAAAACUCGAGGCUCAACCUCGAGACGUCGGCGGAAACCAUCUGGCUAGAGUCCGGAAGAGGAGAGUGGAAUUCCUGGUGUAGCGGUGAAAUGCGCAGAUAUCAAGGAAGAACACCCGUGGCGAAGGCGGCUCUCUGGGACGGUACUGACGCUGAGACGCGAAAGCGUGGGGAGCGAACAGG
rnacentral:rRNA from 1 species